GACGAACGCUGGCGGCGUGCUUAACACAUGCAAGUCGAACGGAAAGGCCCUGCUUUUGUGGGGUGCUCGAGUGGCGAACGGGUGAGUAACACGUGAGUAACCUGCCCUUGACUUUGGGAUAACUUCAGGAAACUGGGGCUAAUACCGGAUAGGAGCUCCUGCUGCAUGGUGGGGGUUGGAAAGUUUCGGCGGUUGGGGAUGGACUCGCGGCUUAUCAGCUUGUUGGUGGGGUAGUGGCUUACCAAGGCUUUGACGGGUAGCCGGCCUGAGAGGGUGACCGGCCACAUUGGGACUGAGAUACGGCCCAGACUCCUACGGGUGGCAGCAGUGGGGAAUAUUGCACAAUGGGCGGAAGCCUGAUGCAGCAACGCCGCGUGCGGGAUGACGGCCUUCGGGUUGUAAACCGCUUUCGCCUGUGACGAAGCGUGAGUGACGGUAAUGGGUAAAGAAGCACCGGCUAACUACGU
rnacentral:rRNA from 1 species